GCAAAGCACUACCUGAAUGUAGAUUUGGGGCCAUACGUUGGAAAAUAAGACAUGAGAGUAUGCUCCAAUCAACCUUUACUGUUUACUGGACAACUAUUUUGGGAAUUUGCAGACCUUUAUAGGUUUAUAGCCCAUCUAUAAAUCUCAAGCAUGUCCACUUUCAGAGAAGAGAAAUGCCAACAACCAUUUAGUCUCUGAGGACAACACUUUUAAAGUGUAACAAUGUGGCUUCCAGAGCUUAUCCAGAUGAGCGGAGAGCAAUGAAUUUCCUUCUGCUCCCCUGUUGAAGAGGAGAGAAAAAUUCUUCAAGCUGGAGAACUACUUGAUCUUAA
rnacentral:antisense_RNA from 1 species